UUCUUUCCCUUUCUCCUUUUCUUUCUUUCUUUUUCUUUUUUUUUUCUUAUUCUAGACAAUGGGUAAAUCUUCUUCUAAGCGGUUGACUGUGCGAGAGAAGAACAAGAAUAA
rnacentral:ribozyme from 21 species